AACGAACGCUGGCGGCAGGCUUAACACAUGCAAGUCGAACGCAUCGCAAGAUGAGUGGCAGACGGGUGAGUAACGCGUGGGAACAUACCCUUUUCUACGGAAUAGCUCUGGGAAACUGGAAUUAAUACCGUAUACGCCCUACGGGGGAAAGAUUUAUCGGGGAAGGAUUGGCCCGCGUUGGAUUAGCUUGUUGGUGGGGUAAAGGCCUACCAAGGCGACGAUCCAUAGCUGGUCUGAGAGGAUGAUCAGCCACAUUGGGACUGAGACACGGCCGAAACUCCUCCGGGAGGCAGCAGUGGGGAAUAUGGGACAAUGGGCGCAAGCCUGAUCCAGCCAUGCCGCGUGAGUGAUGAAGGCCUUAGGGUUGUAAAGCUCUUUCACCGAUGAAGAUAAUGACGGUAGUCGGAGAAGAAGCCCCGGCUAACUUCGUGCCAGCCGCCGCUGUAAAAC
rnacentral:rRNA from 1 species